UGAGACACGGUCCAGACUCCUACGGGAGGCAGCAGUGGGGAAUAUUGCACAAUGGGCGCAAGCCUGAUGCAGCCAUGCCGCGUGUGUGAAGAAGGCCUUCGGGUUGUAAAGCACUUUCAGCGGGGAGGAAGGCGUUAAGGUUAAUAACCUUGGCGAUUGACGUUACCCGCAGAAGAAGCACCGGCUAACUCCGUGCCAGCAGCCGCGGUAAUACGGAGGGUGCAAGCGUUAAUCGGAAUUACUGGGCGUAAAGCGCACGCAGGCGGUCUGUCAAGUCGGAUGUGAAAUCCCCGGGCUCAACCU
rnacentral:rRNA from 1 species